AGUGGAAUAUCUUGUAAACUUUAAGCAUACUGGUAUACGUGUUGAUUUAUUCUAGGAAAACAGUUCCUCAUCUAGAUAUAAACGAUAAAUACAGAAGAUGAAUACAUCACGUGAGUUUUGAUUGUGAAUGUGUUACACACUCGAAGAACAUAUUUAAAACAGAUUUGUAUGUCAUGAUUUUAAAUUAAGGAAUACUUCCCUCAACUUCUUGGAUACGCGAAAAGUGCACUCAUAAAUUUCAAGAUGCGAACUGAAACCAGCUGUUCCCUUGUUUUGGGUAUAAAUACGGCUUAGACGCAACAGCGGGGGUAUAAACGUAAUAAAGGUGCCAUAGUACCAACACAAGUUAACGUCAUUCACAAGGCACAGCCGACGCAUUCGUCUUUGUAUAUGGCGAUUUUAUAUAGUAAAAGUUUUGCAGAUGUGUUACACCCUUGCAUAGGGAAAAGGGGGAGGGAAAAGUGGGAAAUGGUGGAAAAAGGGAAAAGCAACCGGCUUUCUCACUCAAUGGACGAAACACAGCCAUUAAAGACUACUUCACGCGGAUUUUCAGCUAGAGGGUGGUACUUCCCUGGUCGAGCCAGCCCAUGUUCGAGCUUCAGUAACUUGACCACAGCUAAACUGUACCACCUACCAGAUUAUUAUUAUUCAAAUAAUAAGAAUUGCACUGAAAUAUAAAGUUUUGAUAAAAGUUAAAUAAUAUCAAAUUGUUAAUUUAUUACAAUUUUUCGUUGUCAUCAAAUUUUAUCAAAAAUGUAUUAUAUUUAGAAUCCAAGAAUAUAUAUAAAGGUAUCCCUUUCUGUCAAUGUCUGUACAUAUUGUGCAUAUGAAUAUUAGUACCAACUUUAUGAUCCGGAUUAUGAAACAAAUAUUGCUCAAAAUUUGUCUGCAGUUUAAGAAUAAUUUGAGAAGGACAACGACCUCUUUAUAUAAAAUCCAUAAAUCAUUAUAUGAUGAACUCGAGAUUUAAUUGCCCAUUUUACUUGUAUAUUAUUUUAAUAGUUCGUCAUAAAAUAUCAUAUAUACCGCCUGCCAUCGUAUCCGCCCGUUUAUUACCGAUAUUGAAGCUUACUGAGAAAUAGUCUCCAUAUUUAUACAACUGGUAUGUAAAUUUUAAU